rnacentral:rRNA from 1 species
UACAUAGGGCGCAAGCGUUAUCCGGAAUUAUUGGGCGUAAAGAGCUCGUAGGCGGUUUGUCGCGUCUGCCGUGAAAGUCCGGGGCUCAACUCCGGAUCUGCGGUGGGUACGGGCAGACUAGAGUGCAGUAGGGGAGACUGGAAUUCCUGGUGUAGCGGUGAAAUGCGCAGAUAUCAGGAGGAACACCGAUGGCGAAGGCAGGUCUCUGGGCUGUAACUGACGCUGAGGAGCGAAAGCAUGGGGAGCGAACAGG